rnacentral:rRNA from 1 species
GACGAACGCUGGCGGCGUGCUUAACACAUGCAAGUCGAACGAAGAGCGAUGGAAGCUUGCUUCUAUCACUCUUAGUGGCGAACGGGUGAGUAACGCGUAAUCAACCUGCCCUUCAGAGGGGGACAACAGUUGGAAACGACUGCUAAUACCGCAUACGAUCUAAUCUCGGCAUCGAGGAUAGAUGAAAGGUGGCCUCUACAUGUAAGCUAUCACUGAAGGAGGGGAUUGCGUCUGAUUAGCUAGUUGGAGGGGUAACGGCCCACCAAGGCGAUGAUCAGUAGCCGGUCUGAGAGGAUGAACGGCCACAGUGGGACGGAGACACGGCCCAGACUCCUACGGGAGGCAGCAGUGGGGAAUCUUCCGCAAUGGACGAAAGUCUGACGGAGCAACGCCGCGUGAGUGAUGACGGCCGUCGGGUUGUAAAGCUCGGUUAAUCGGGACGAAAGGCCUUCUUGCGAAUAGUGAGAAGGAUUGACGGUACCGGAAGAGAAAGCCACGGCUAACUACGUG